rnacentral:rRNA from 1 species
GACGAACGCUGGCGGCGUGCUUAACACAUGCAAGUCGAACGGAAAGGCCCUGCUUUUGUGGGGUGCUCGAGUGGCGAACGGGUGAGUAACACGUGAGUAACCUGCCCUUGACUUUGGGAUAACUUCAGGAAACUGGGGCUAAUACCGGAUAGGAGCUCCUGCUGCAUGGUGGGGGUUGGAAAGUUUCGGCGGUUGGGGAUGGACUCGCGGCUUAUCAGCUUGUUGGUGGGGUAGUGGCUUACCAAGGCUUUGACGGGUAGCCGGCCUGAGAGGGUGACCGGGCACAUUGGGACUGAGAUACGGGCCAGACUCCAACGGGAGGCAGCAGUGGGGAAUAUUGCACAAUGGGCGGAAGCCUGAUGCAGCAACGCCGCGUGCGGGAUGACGGCCUUCGGGUUGUAAACCGCUUUCGCCUGUGACGAAGCGUGAGUGACGGUAAUGGGUAAAGAAGCACCGGCUAACUACGUG